rnacentral:misc_RNA from 1 species
GAGUGAACCAUCAUGCAUAUUUAUUUUUGCCUUAGAUGCUUUCAGAAAAGGUCUAACUAAAAAAAUUGGCCAUGAACUGGAAGAAUGAUCAUCCUCCAUGUCAAGAACAUAAAAAUCAGCAAGAAAGACCAAUUCAUUCACUUGCACUAAAACAUCCUCAUUCACACCAUCAGGAUAUGCAUUUGACCUAUCAGCCAAUUAUAUAAUAACACCAGUAUUUU